UGCGUACCUGCUCAGGAAACCUAAUGAACCGUUUCCAAAUCAUCACGCUCAACCUUCAAUAAAAUAAGUGAACAGAACCUGAAGUCCUGAACUUUUGACUCUAACAGAUCAUCUGUGGUGGGUUAGUUUAUCUGCCCCUCCAACAGUUUGCUCCACAUUAUAUAUUCAUGAGUUGCUGUUCACAGCAGACGUCACCUGGACAGUCGACUCUAGUUGUAAACCACGUUUGACUGCACCAGCUUCCAUGUUCCAGCGUGUGAAUGAUGAAAAGGCCGAGAGGAUUCAUGUACAGACGGACGGCAGCAGUCCAGGACAAUUCUAACAGAAAUGUAGAAACAGGUGAACCUCUGGUCCAGCAGCUUCUUGCUGUAGUAGAUCUGCCAGGCGAGCAGCUGCACAGCGAUAACCAUCAGCAGACGUUCAGAGGAAACGCAGCCCUGCACCAUGAGAAGAGGGGCCGACCCCGGGACCAGGAACUUUAAAACCAGCUGCCGUCCAGCUGACGAGGCCUGAAGGACUCGCUGGUGAAAAGGUAGCAGGUGCGUCAGAUCCUGAGAGGGAACUCACCGUUAUGUCUUUUACACCAAAUAACUUCAUACACAUUAAACACAUUAACAUUCAAACAUGCUUGAAAAAUGUAGAAUGUGUAGAAGAAAACACAGCAGCCUUUCACAAUAAAAUGUAGUUCAGCUGUUUGAA